rnacentral:rRNA from 1 species
CAGCCGCCACGGUAAUACGAAGGGUGCAAGCGUUAAUCGGAAUUACUGGGCGUAAAGCGUGCGUAGGCGGUUUGUUAAGUCUGCUGUGAAAUCCCCGGGCUCAACCUGGGAAUGGCAGUGGAUACUGGCAAGCUAGAGUGUGUCAGAGGAUGGUGGAAUUCCCGGUGUAGCGGUGAAAUGCGUAGAGAUCGGGAGGAACAUCAGUGGCGAAGGCGGCCAUCUGGGACAACACUGACGCUGAGGCACGAAAGCGUGGGGAGCAAACAGGAUUAGAUACCCCAGUAGUCCCUUGUCUCUUAUU